rnacentral:rRNA from 1 species
CUUUGUCUGGCGACCGGCGCACGGGUGAGUAACACGUAUCCAACCUGCCGAUAACUCGGGGAUAGCCUUUCGAAAGAAAGAUUAAUACCCGAUGGUAUAAUCAGACCGCAUGGUUUGAUUAUUAAAGAAUUUCGGUUAUCGAUGGGGAUGCGUUCCAUUAGGCAGUUGGUGAGGUAACGGCUCACCAAACCUUCGAUGGAUAGGGGUUCUGAGAGGAAGGUCCCCCACAUUGGAACUGAGACACGGUCCAA